rnacentral:rRNA from 1 species
CCUACGGGCGGCUGCAGUGGGGAAUAUUGCACAAUGGGCGCAAGCCUGAUGCAGCCAUGCCGCGUGUGUGAAGAAGGCCUUUGGGUUGUAAAGCACUUUCAGCGGGGAGGAAGGCGGUGAGGUUAAUAACCUCAUCGAUUGACGUUACCCGCAGAAGAAGCACCGGCUAACUCCGUGCCAGCAGCCGCGGUAAUACGGAGGGUGCAAGCGUUAAUCGGAAUUACUGGGCGUAAAGCGCACGCAGGCGGUCUGUCAAGUCGGAUGUGAAAUCCCCGGGCUCAACCUGGGAACGGCAUUCGAAACUGGCAGGCUAGAGUCUUGUAGAGGGGGGUAGAAUUCCAGGCGUAGCGGUGAAAUGCGUAGAGAUCUGGAGGAAUACCGGUGGCGAAGGCGGCCCCCUGGACAAAGACUGACGCUCAGGUGCGAAAGCGUGGGGAGCAAACAGGAUUAGAUACCCUAGUAGUC